rnacentral:rRNA from 1 species
AUUGAACGCUGGCGGAAUGCUUUACACAUGCAAGUCGAACGGCAGCACGGACUUCGGUCUGGUGGCGAGUGGCGAACGGGUGAGUAAUGUAUCGGAACGUGCCCAGUCGUGGGGGAUAACGUAGUGAAAAUUACGCUAAUACCGCAUACGAUCUAUGGAUGAAAGCGGGGGAUCGCAAGACCUCGCGCGAUUGGAGCGGGCGAUAUCAGAUUAGGUAGUUGGUGGGGUAAAGGCCCACCAAGCCAACUAUCUGUAGCUGGUCUUGAGAGGACGACCAGCCACACUGGAACUGAGACACGGUCCGGACUCCUACGGGAGGCAGCAGUGGGGAAUUUUGGACAAUGGGCGAAAGCCUGAUCCAGCCAUUCCGCGUGCAGGAUGAAGGCCCUCGGGUUGUAAACUGCUUUUGUACAGAACGAAAAGGUUUCUACUAAUACUAGGAGCUCAUGACGGUACUGUAAGAAUAAGCACCGGCUAACUACGUGCCAGCCGCCGCCGUAA